ACGGGGUGAAGGGGCAACUCUUCAUUCAGUGGCGAACGGGUGAGUAAUGCAUCGGAACGUGUCCCGUAGUGGGGGAUAACCCAGCGAAAGCUGGGCUAAUACCGCAUAUGCUCUACGGAGGAAAGUGGGGGACCGCAAGGCCUCACGCUAUGGGAGCGGCCGAUGUCCGAUUAGCUAGUUGGUGGGGUAAUGGCCCACCAAGGCGACGAUCGGUAGCUGGUCUGAGAGGAUGAUCAGCCACACUGGGACUGAGACACGGCCCAGACUCCUACGGGAGGCAGCAGUGGGGAAUUUUGGACAAUGGGGGCAACCCUGAUCCAGCCAUGCCGCGUGCGGGAAGAAGGCCUUCGGGUUGUAAACCGCUUUUGGUCGGGAAGAAAAGGCACGUUCUAAUACGGCGUGUUCUUGACGGUACCGGCAGAAUAAGCACCGGCUAACUACGUGCCAGCAGCCGCGGUAAUACGUAGGGUGCGAGCGUUAAUCGGAAUUACUGGGCGUAAAGCGUGCGCAGGCGGUUCGUUAAGUUCGUUGUGAAAGCCCCGGGCUCAACCUGGGAACGGCAAUGGAAACUGGCGGGCUGGAGUGUGGCAGAGGGGGGUGGAAUUCCACGUGUAGCAGUGAAAUGCGUAGAGAUGUGGAGGAACACCGAUGGCGAAGGCAGCCCCCUGGGCCAACACUGACGCUCAGGCACGAAAGCGUG
rnacentral:rRNA from 1 species